rnacentral:tRNA from 1 species
GUGUGUGUAGUUUAAAAAAAUAUCAUGCUGUGACCAUGAUGAUAGGAAACACUCCUCACACACC